rnacentral:lncRNA from 1 species
ACGCCCAGACCACGCCCCCGUGGGCCAGGCUUCGCCCCCAGCCCAGGGCCCACACCUACGCCUCACGUUUGUACUACUGACCCCAACCUCCACUUGGUAUCCCUCCUGGUGGACAUGGCGGUGGAGGGGGAACAGAGGCUCAGGCCUACGGACUGGUGGGACAGGACGGGGGGCGGGGGUGAGGGGCCCGGGUGGCCAGUGCCUCUGCCAGUGCCUCGCAGUACCGGGAUGAGAGCUGCAGGUCACGACAAGAGCUCCAGGGCAGCCCCGCGGCUGCUGACAUUACAGCGACAUCUGAGCUGCCCCGAGGUAAGCGGCACAGGCCUGGACACCAGAGUUCCUGUCUCCUAGGGAGUCAUAUGCUCCCAUGUUUUAGAUGAGGAAACUGAGGAAAGGACACUUGACCGUCGGGGUAGUCAGAACUGGAAACCCUCCUGGCCCUGAUGAGGGCCUUCUAGCAGAAUUUUGCCUGGGCUGUAAGCUCCUAGGGCACUCACGAACCAGAGUCGCAGGAGAGCUCUGGGUUCUGGGAAAACAAAGUCACGGACAGGUUGGAACUGAGGGGCUGGAGGGAAGAAAAGUGGGGGUCUUUAGUGGGUGACAGUGGAAGACAGAGCAGCGUUGUUUGCAAACCUGGUACCUCCUCCUGCUACUCAGCAGUUCCAGUGACCCUUGCACUGGGCCUGACUUCCAGGCAUUUGGGCUGUUUACUCUUAUCACAGAGAUGUGGACAGACUGGGGCCUGUGUACAGAGGCCCUCGGGAGCUCACCCUGCCCCUCUUGUGAUCCAGAGCAGUGGCCAGGAGCCUGAGGACAGCCCGUUGACCAUACAUGUGCUUGACACUGCCUCUGGGCUCCCAAUCCCCGGCCUCUGCCUCCAUUUGUCCCAGCUUGAAGACCUCAGCCAGCAGUGGACAGAGCUAAGAAAAAGGUAGGAGGUAGGCCCUGGGGAUGGGAGGGAAUCUAGAGCACCUGCUCCUCCAGCACCAGCCCUUCCUGAGUCCCACCCUGGGACACAUCCCAGACAGUCCAGGAGUGAGGGCACUGAGGCCUAGAGGACAGAGAUGACUGCUGCUCAACUGCCCCCUCAGCCUGGGGGCCCACAGGUUCACAGCCUGGCCCCUCCCUACUGACUCUCUCAGCUUCACUUUCCUCACUGAAAACCACAGGACAAUGGAAGUAGAUGUCUCACCAGGUGUGAGCAUCCUGGGACAAUGCCAUAGAAUGGGCUGAGGCCUGCUAGGGUAGGGGCAGUGUGUGUUUCCUUGCCACCAUGCCCAUGGCCUGAAUUAAUACCCGAGGUGGCAGCUAAAAGGCCUCACUGUCCGCCUGGUUAACAGCAGGCUGAACACCCAAUUUCUGCUUUUAUUCUCCGUAUGCCCUCUGGGUAGGAAACAAUAAUUACCAUUUUACAGAUGGGAAAACAGGUGGGAUGAAAUAAAAGCUGGGCUUCCUCAGCCUGAUGUGCUCACAGAGCCCAGGCCUUGGGCCCCUGCUCCCUGCACAGGCUCUGCUGGAGAAAACCCUUGAGUUUGGCUCUAUGAGUGGGUUUCCCAAACCCUCCAUCUUGAAGGAGGCAGGCUCCAAGCUUCAAGAGACUCUCUUCCACCCCUGGGAGUGGGUGGGCAGCGGGAGCAGGUUACAGAAAGGAGGAUAGGCGCUACAGGUUCAGGGUCAAGGAUGGGGCUUGUUUUCUACCUGUUCAGCUUUUCACAAAAGUCAGGGGGUGCCAUUCGUAAGGGUGCACAUCUGUAAUCCCAGCAAUUCUGGAGGCUAAUGCAGGAGGAUAGCUAGUUCGAGGCCAGUAACAGCAAUUUAGUGAGACCCUGCCUCAAAAUAAAAAUUAAAAGACUGGAUAUAGCUCAGUGGUAAAGCACCCCUGGGUUCAAUCCCAGUAAUAAAAAAAGAAAUGAAAAGUUUGGGGAUGAGGGACAAGAUCUCAUCUGAGCAUUACUUCAAGUCAGCAUGGCACUGCGCAGACCUGGAGUCCCACCCACCACAAUGUGCACGUGCUUCCUCUGCCCCUCUCACCAGUGAGACACGCUUUACAGUCCAGCUGGUCACAUGAUGUGGGGUUUUGAAGAGGAGACUUAGCCAAACCACAGGCCUUUAGAACUCUCCAUGAGGGAUCAGCCCACUCCAUGUGGACCCUUUGUGCUGUUGGAAAUGGGCCACCAUGUAGAUAGGCAGUUAUUGACCCAGAAAGCCACACACAACACACUACGUGAAAAUACAGCUUAUGAAACAUGAAUAAUUUGUUUUGUAAAAAUGUUUGUAAAUACAGGCUGGGGUUAUGGCUCAGUGGUAGAGCUCUCACCUAGCCAUGUGUGAGGCACUGGAUUCAAUCCUCAGCACCACAUAAAGAUAAAUAAAGGUAUUGUGUCCAUCUACAACUAAAAAAUAUUUUUAAAUAUGUUUGUAAAUAAACAUAGUUAAGCUUAGAAAAAAAUCUAAGAAAAACAUGCCAAAUUUGAAGUGAUUAUUGCUCAUAGGUUAAACUGGGAGAUUUUUCCCUUUUUGCUUCUUUAUUGAUUUCUUAAAGAGGCAGUGCAACAAUGUCUCUAGAAACUGCCCCACAAUCUCUGUUCAGCCAUGUCUGCAUCAGCCUGCACAGUGUCUGAGGCCAGGGGGUCAGACCCAGGGGGGAUGGGGAAGGGUGGCUCCACAUCUGACCUCAGCAGCCCAUCCUCUCCCCAGCUACACAGACCCAGAUGGCCACUGCCCUGGGCUCCUGAGGACAGGCCAAAUGAAGCCAGGCACCUAUAAGCUGUCCUUUGACACAGAGGGCUACUGGAAGGAGAUGGGGCAGGAGAGCUUCUACCCAUAUGUAGAGGUGAGUGCCAUGGCAGGUGGAGAGGGUGGAAGCCCUGACUCACUGACCUGCAGGCCAGGCUUCAUGGGCAAACUGGUCCCACUUCUCUCAGGGAGGUGGCAGGCACAUGAGUUUGCCUGCUUUGAGUUCCUACAAGAAAGGGGUCCUGGGACCUGGGGCAUCAAGAGACUCCGUGUCAACAUGCCCAGCCAUGAGCAUCCAUGAGUCAGGCUUGGGGGGUGAUUCACCCCCUCUUCAUAGAUAGUUUCCAUCUACACCAACUCUAGCUCCUGGGCCUUCCCUUACUGCUCCCCCCACCCCCUCCACCUGGCUUUUUCCACAUCCAGCAUGCCCGGAGGAGGACUCAGCCCUCAGGAAGCUUCUAAUCCACCACUGGGUUUCAGCUAACCCUUCCCCACCAUCUAGGCCGCUUUCCCAGGGAGCAUUGAGGGCAGGUGGCUCCUGUGCUGUGGUCCCUCACUGUCUUCUGGUGCCUUUCUGCUUCUCUCAGAUUGUUUUCACCAUCAUCAAUGAAACCCAGAAGUUCCACCUGCCUCUGCUGCUGAGCCCAUGGUCCUAUACCACCUACAGAGGGAGCCAGAGCUAGAGGGCAGCUAUGACUCCGGUGGAUAAAGCCAGUGCUGCAUCCACAGACCUACUCCUGAUGGGUUGCUGUGAUUCAGGUCAAUAAACUCUGGUUGCAUCUGCAGUGCUUGUGUCCCAGCCAGAGUGUGGGUAGGUUACCUUGGAUCCUCCCAGCCCUUCCUCAAUCAUAAAUGAAUCCUGUAGAGUUGGCUUCUUGAUAGCUCUUAGACCUCUGCUCCUCACCCGUCCCAGCCUGGCCUGCUGUCUGGCCCUGUGUUCCCCAUCUGAUCCUCAUACCAAGACUCCUUCAUGGUUUCCAUCUAGCCCUACACACUGGGGUUUGGCAGACGCCUUUUACAAUCACCCUCAGCCCUGCAUCCCGAGAGCUGGGUGUUCCCUAGGCAGCUCAGGGGUUGCUCACCUCAAAGCCUAGUAUGCAGCCUUGGUCAGGAUGGUGAGAGUGGGUGGGCGGGUGGUACAGCAAACCCAGCUGGAGUGCUGUAAACAGGGAUGAAGAACCUUUACACACAGCUAAUCCUUUGGUCCUGGAAUUUUUGUGUUGGGCAGAAGGCAUUAAUGGUCAGCCAAACUGUGUGCUGAUGAAUCACCUUGGAAAAGCUACCUGUGGUACUUCUCAGAAUGAAA